GCAACAGCUCAAAUUUGAAAGCUAGCCUUCGGGUUCGCAUUGUAAUUUGUAGAGGAUACUUUGGGGAAACCGCCUGUCUAAGUUCCUUGGAACAGGACGUCAUAGAGGGUGAGAAUCCCGUAUGUGACAGGAAAUGGUGCCCUAUGUAAAGUUCCUUCGACGAGUCGAGUGGUUUGGGAAUGCAGCUCUAAAUGGGAGGUAAAUUCUUCUAAAGCUAAAUACCGGCGAGAGACCGAUAGCGCACAAGUAGAGUGAUCGAAAGAUGAAAAGCACUUUGGAAAGAGAGUUAAAAAGCACGUGAAAUUGUUGAAAGGGAAGCGCUUGCAAUCAGACUUGUCUUUGGCUGUUCCGCCGGUCUUCUGACCGGUUUACUCAGCCAAGGACAGGCCAGCAUCAGUUUCGGCGGUCGGAUAAAGGCCUUGGGAAUGUGGCUCCCUCUUCGGAGGUAGUGUUAUAGCCCAAGGUGUAAUACGGGCAGCCGGGACUGAGGUCCGCGCUUCGGCUAGGAUGCUGGCGUAAUGGUUGUAAGCGACCCGUCUU
rnacentral:rRNA from 1 species